AUCAUGAAACCAGCAACAUUUAUAUCCAGACUGAUGCCAGAGGAGAGAUCGACUACUCAAGGUGUGGACCCAUGGACCACCUGGUUGUUUAUUAGAAAUGCAGAACUUGAAGCUUCACCCCAGAACUACUGAAACAAAAUUUGCUAACAAGAUCUCAGGUGGAAAGUAAAACCUACCAUCUAAGAUGGAGCUCCUCUCCAGGACAGAACUGAGACUGUGGAUUAGGUGAUGAAGCAAGGAAGAAUAGAAGGGAAUAAAAGACCAAAGGAAAGAUGGGAGGAGGAAGAAAUGGGAGAAAAGACACUGGAGACCAGACUUCAAAGACACUGCUAACUAUCCACCAAGAGACAUUAGUAGGGACUUUUUGGGAAAACAAAUGUUUUAUAUCAUCUGAAUCUAUGUAUGUUGGAAAUAAUAAGAUCAUAAUAUUUCCUUUUUGUAAAUUAUUUGUAGCUGCUUAGUAACUAAGUCUUUCAUCACUUUCUUCAUUUAUUUACUCAUCAACACAUUUCUUCAAUGCCUACAAUAUGUCACUGUUCUAGGCAGUAGAGAUACAUUCCUUAACGAGACAUAAAAUUCAUGGCUUCUUGGUUCUUAUAUUCUUGUGGGAAGAAGAGAGAGAGAAUUAAUAUGGGGAAAAUAUGAUUUCAGAUGUCAAAAUUAGAGAACUUCUCCAGGUAUAGUUAAAAAUAGAUAAUAAGACUAAGAGGACAAGUGGCGUUUGAAAUCAGUAUUUUGGUGAGGGAAGUGGACAGAACCAGGGAGGCUGCACAUCUAACAGAAUGAUGCAUCACCAUGCCUUAUUUCCAGUCAGUAUUCAGCACUCGGAUGGGCAUUGCAGCUUAGAUGGGAGGUGAAAAGGGAGUGUUCCUUGUACCCUGUGGGCAUUUUGUGGUAUUUCUCAAUUUCUUAUCUACAGCAUUCUCUUUUUGGGCUUUACACACAAGGCACUCUUAAUUUUCCUGCCUUCAGAUCUUGUUGCUCAACCUCUCUUGUACAUUUUUUUCUGGAUGUUAAAAGUAACAAAAAAUAUUUGCCCAAUUAUCACCUAAGAAAGCCUCCCAGCAACAUGACUUGCAGCUCCUGGGGCAUUUUCUGUGUGACACAUCUCUAUUUUAGAAGCUUCUGUGGGACAACCUGCAGAGUGGCCUAGUUGUUCAUCUGUGACUGGGUGAUGUGGCCCAGUGAUGUGGUAAAGGUUCUAACCCACUUCCCUUAAGGCAAAGGUUUUUCACCAUGUUCACUCUAGGUGUGUGAAUAAUAAUAACUGCGGUCUGUAUAGCGUGUGACAGUUUACAAGGGCUCUAGGUGUGUGAAUAAUGAUAACUGCUGUUUGUAUAGUGUGUGACGGUUUACAAGGGUGUUCAUCACACUGUCUAAUAUUGUUAUUUAUAUAUUACAGCUAAGAAAAUGGGUAUACAAAGACAGUAAGCAUCCUUCCCCAAAAUCUCUGUGCCCAGGAAGCAAGUGCCACGUCUUCUGAUUUCCAACCCGUCUGUUCUUCCCACUUUUCCAAUGCUGAUACUCCAUCAUAGUGAGUCCCUCUUCCUCUCCUUCUGCUGGCUUUUUCCUCUCCUUGUUAUAGUUUGGAAUUUUUUAAGGCUAAAGCAAAAGAAAAGAAAAAUCAAAGAAAAGAUUAAAAGCCAUCCUUAAUUAACUCCUUACAUUAUCUUACCUUACCUUUCAUUUUCAGUGCCUUGUUUAUAGGCAUGAAAUGCUUAGCAUUCUUCUAUCACCAUUUUAAAAAAUAAAAGUAGCAUUAUUAGAACCUCCCUUUACAAAUUGUAGACAACAUUGCUAGUCCUAUUGGCACUAAAUAGGACUAGUUUGUGACUUUAGAUCUCAAAAUAAACUAGGUCUUUUUUUUUUUUAACUUGUCGUUGUUGAUAUACACUAGUGUUAUUUGUUAAGGCCAUAAUUAAGAGAUAAUGUUUGGCUUUGAGAGGGAAUCUAACCACACAUAUCUCUCUGAGCACAAAAGCUUCAGUAAAACUUACUUUAAAUUUUGUGCAUUCUCACACUUAAUUUUCCUGACUUCAGGUCCCUUUGCUCAACCCCUCUUGUAGAUUUUUUUUUCUUCUGGAUGCUAACAACAACAAAAAAGCAUGCCAUCGAUAUCUGCGCAAUUAUCACCUAAUAAGCCUCCUAGAAACAUGACUUGCUGCCCAUGGGGCAUUUUCUGUGUGACACAGCUCUCUAUUUAAGAAGCUUUAGCUCCAGAGCUGUGGCUCACUCCUAGAAUCUCAGCAUUUUGGGAGGCUGAGGAGGGCAGAUCACCUGAGGUUAAGUGUUCAAGGCCAGCCUGGCCAACAUGGUGAAACCUCAUCUCUACUAAAAAUACAAAAAUUAGCCAAGCGUGGUGGCAUGUACCUGUAAUCCCAGCUACUUGGUGUCUGAGGCAAAAGAAUUGCUUGAACCCAGAAAGCAGAGGUUGCAGUGAGCCAAGAUUGCACCACUGCAUUCCAGCCCAGGCAACAGAGUGAGACUGUCUCAAAAAAAAAAAAAAAAAAAAAAAAAAAAAAAAAAAAGAAAGAAAGAAAGAAAGAAAGAAAGAAAGAAAGAAAGAAAGAAAGAAAGAAAAAGAAGCUUCAAGCUUUAGUGAGACUUGACUUCCAGAAUGACCUGGUUCUUCAUCUGUGAUGGGUGCUUCCCUGAAAAAAAGGUCAUUCAAGAAGAAAUUUCUUCCUCCUCAGGAAACUUUUCUUUUAUAGCUAAAGUAUUGAUUGUUUAGCCAAUUGCUGAAACUUGAG